rnacentral:sRNA from 1 species
GCUGGGCGUGGUGGUACACACCUGUAAUCCCAGAGACCUGGGAGGCUGAGGCAGGAGGAUUUUAAGUUUGAGGCCAGCUUCAACAACUUAGGGAGUCCCUGUCUCAA